AAAAGUUAACUCUGUAUGGAGUUGGAACGUUUGCCUACGGUUGCCGUUAGGGGCGCUGUUCCAACUCUAUACAAAUUUGAAUUA
rnacentral:pre_miRNA from 1 species